rnacentral:lncRNA from 1 species
UUUACACAUUUCCACCAUUGCUGACCACUGAACUAUUACCAUAUUUGCCUCAUCAGAAUCCAGUUCAGGAAUGUGCUCUGAAUUGACUUGAUGGAAAUUAUGGCUUCAAAUACAUAAGUGACAGAAAGCCCUCUGAAUCUGACAACUACUGGGAAAUCUGAAGAAAUUUCAAUUUCAGCCUCCCUCCUGCUUCUGAGCACUACAGAUUUGGGGAAGUGAUUCAGACAGCAUCCUGCCUCUUGAAAUUUCAUACAAAUUUAUUUCUACCCCAUUCCUGAUUUAUAACCUGAAGGAUUGUGAGUCGAAAGAUUGUGAGUCUUGCUAAAGCAAGAGAAAAUGUUGACUCUUAAAUAUCUUGUGCUUGAUCUUUCAAACUAAAUGGAGGUGACAUUCACUCACACGUUUACACAAAUGGAAACAUGGCAUUCAUGAGUCACUGAUAUUAAUGUGGGAUUAGGAACAAAAACCUAUGCUUCUUGACACCUACCUUCAGGUCUUCAAUGAACUGAGGGCUCAGUCUUCAGUGUUGUUUGGGGAACAUCUUCAAUUUCUGAGAACAUUGAAAACAAAAUGCUCCCCGCUAACAGGGCUGACCCUAAAGAAACUGUGCCAACUGGAAGGUUGAUGUCUGCCAACAUCCACCGCAAUGAUUCUUCUCUUGGUAAAAAAGAAAACAUAAGUAUCACAGAUAGCAUUUCUUAAUCUGCUG